CGGACCGGCGGCACGGGUGAGUAACACGUAUGCAACCUGGCCGUGACAGAUGGAUAACCGGGAGAAAUCCCGCCUAAUACAACAUAAUGCCGGGAGGGGACAUCCCCUGCCGGUCAAAGGGGGCGACCCCGGUCAUGGAUGGGCAUGCGGCGCAUUAGGUAGUUGGUGGGGCAACGGCCCACCAAGCCGACGAUGCGUAGGGGUUCUGAGAGGAAGGUCCCCCACACUGGUACUGAGACACGGACCAGACUCCUACGGAAGGCAGCAG
rnacentral:rRNA from 1 species